UACGGAGGGGGCUAGCGUUGUUCGGAAAUACUGGGCGUAAAGCGCACGUAGGCGGCGCAGCAAGUCAGGGGUGAAAUCCCGGGGCUCAACCCCGGAACUGCCUCUGAAACUGCAGUGCUAGAAUCUUGGAGAGGCGAGUGGAAUUCCGAGUGUAGAGGUGAAAUUCGUAGAUAUUCGGAAGAACACCAGUGGCGAAGGCGACUCGCUGGACAAGUAUUGACGCUGAGGUGGCGAAAGCGUGGGGAGCAAACAGG
rnacentral:rRNA from 1 species